CACGUAGGGCGCAAGCGUUGUCCGGAAUUAUUGGGCGUAAAGAGCUCGUAGGCGGUGUGUCACGUCGGCCGUGAAAACCUGCAGCUUAACUGUGGGCGUGCGGUCGAUACGGGCAUCACUGGAGUUCGGCAGGGGAGACUGGAAUUCCUGGUGUAGCGGUGAAAUGCGCAGAUAUCAGGAGGAACACCGGUGGCGAAGGCGGCUCUCUGGGACGGUACUGACGCUGAGACGCGAAAGCGUGGGGAGCGAACAGG
rnacentral:rRNA from 1 species